rnacentral:rRNA from 1 species
ACUCCUACGGGAGGCAGCAGUGGGGAAUAUUGCACAAUGGGGGGAAACCCUGAUGCAGCCAUGCCGCGUGUGUGAAGAAGGCCUUCGGUUGUAAAGCACUUUCAGUAGGGAGGAAGGUAGUGUAGUUAACACCUGCAUUAUUUGUACGUUACCUACAGAAGAAAGCACCGGCUAACUCCGUGCCAGCAGCCGCGGUAAGUACGGAGGGUGCGAGCGUUAAUCGGAAUUACUGGGCGUAAAGCGCAUGCAGGCGGCCUGUUAAGUCAGAUGUGAAACGCCCGGGGCUUAACCUCGGAAUUGCAUUUGAAACUGGCAGGCUAGAGUCUUGUAGAGGGGGUUA